GCCUUUGUAGUUCAAUGGAUAGAACACCGGUUUCCGGAACCGGCGAUGUGAGUUCGAUUCUCCCCGGGGGCACCA
rnacentral:tRNA from 1 species